UAGUGCCCGUACCGCAAACCGACACAGGUAGAUGAGGAGAGAAUCCUAAGACCAUCGGAAGAAUUGCAGUUAAGGAACUCGGCAAAUUGACCCCGUAACUUCGGGAGAAGGGGUGCCUACGCAAGUAGGCCGCAGAGAAUAGGCCCAAGCAACUGUUUAGCAAAAACACAGGUCUCUGCUAAAGCGAAAGCUGAAGUAUAGGGGCUGACGCCUGCCCGGUGCUGGAAGGUUAAGGGGAAUGCUUAGCGCAAGCGAAGGCAUGAACUUAAGCCCCAGUAAACGGCGGCCGUAACUAUAACGGUCCUAAGGUAGCGAAAUUCCUUGUCAGGUAAGUUCUGACCCGCACGAAUGGCGUAAUGACUUGGGCACUGUCUCAACUGCAAAUCCGGCGAAAUUGUAGUGCCAGUGAAGAUGCUGGCUACCCGCGAUUGGACGGAAAGACCCCGUAGAGCUUUACUGUAGCUUAGCAUUGAAUUUCGGUAUUGUCUGUACAGGAUAGGUGGGAGACUGAGAAACUGGGGCGUCAGCUUCAGUGGAGUCACCCUUGGGAUACCACCCUGACAGUACUGAGGUUCUAACGGAUACCCAUGAAACUGGGUGCCGGACAUUGUUAGGUGGGCAGUUUGACUGGGGCGGUCGCCUCCUAAAAAGUAACGGAGGCGCUCAAAGGUUCCCUCAGAACGGUCGGAAAUCGUUCGAAGAGUGCAAAGGCAGAAGGGAGCCUGACUGCGACACCUACAAGUGGAGCAGGGACGAAAGUCGGACUUAGUGAUCCGGUGGUACCUCGUGGGAGGGCCAUCGCUCAACGGAUAAAAGCUACCUCGGGGAUAACAGGCUGAUCUCCCCCAAGAGUCCACAUCGACGGGGAGGUUUGGCACCUCGAUGUCGGCUCGUCGCAUCCUGGGGCUGAAGUAGGUCCCAAGGGUUGGGCUGUUCGCCCAUUAAAGCGGCACGCGAGCUGGGUUCAGAACGUCGUGAGACAGUUCGGUCCCUAUCCGUCGCGGGCGUAGGAAAUUUGAGAGGAGCUGUCCCUAGUACGAGAGGACCGGGAUGGACUGACCUCUGGUGUACCAGUUGUCACGCCAGUGGCAUUGCUGGGUAGCUAUGUCGGGACGGGAUAAACGCUGAAAGCAUCUAAGCGUGAAGCCCACCUCAAGAUUAGAUUUCCCAUAGCAUAAGCUAGUAAGACCCCUUGAAGAACACGAGGUUGAUAGGUCAGAGGUGUAAGUGCAGUAAUGUAUUAAGCUGACUGAUACUAAUAGGUCGAGGGCUUGACCAA
rnacentral:rRNA from 1 species